AUACGGAGGGUGCAAGCGUUGUUCGGAAUUAUUAGGCGUAAAGAGCAUGUAGGCGGUUCGUUAAGUCUGAUGUGAAAGCCCGGGGCUCAACCCCGGAAGUGCAUUGGAUACUGGCGAACUUGAGUACGGGAGAGGAAAGUGGAAUUUCGAGUGUAGGGGUGAAAUCCGUAGAUAUUCGAAGGAACACCAGUGGCGAAGGCGGCUUUCUGGACCGAUACUGACGCUGAGAUGCGAAAGCGUGGGGAGCAAACAGGAUUAGAUACCCCAGUAGUCC
rnacentral:rRNA from 1 species